rnacentral:rRNA from 1 species
UACGUAGGGUGCAAGCGUUAAUCGGAAUUACUGGGCGUAAAGCGUGCGCAGGCGGUUAUGGAAGACAGAUGUGAAAUCCCCGGGCUCAACCUGGGAACUGCAUUUGUGACUGCAUAGCUUGAGUGCGGCAGAGGGGGAUGGAAUUCCGCGUGUAGCAGUGAAAUGCGUAGAUAUGCGGAGGAACACCGAUGGCGAAGGCAAUCCCCUGGGCCUGCACUGACGCUCAUGCACGAAAGCGUGGGGAGCAAACAGG